rnacentral:lncRNA from 1 species
UUGGAUCCAUAGCCACCCUUGGCCACCAUAUUGGAUCCAGAGCCACCCAUAGCCGCCAUAUUGGCCGCCAUAUUGGAUCCAGAGCCACCCAUGGCCGCCAUAUUGGCCGCCUUAUUGGAUCCAGAGCCACCCUUGGCCGCCAUGUUGGAUCCAUAGCCACCCAUGGCCGCCAUAUUGGAUCCAUAUCCACCCUUGGCCGCCAUAUUGGGGUCCAUAGCCACCCAUGGCCGCCAUAUUUGCCGCCAUAUUGGCCGCCAUAUUGGAUCCAUAGCCACCCUUGGCCGCCAUAUUGGGUCCCAUUGCCACCCCCCUUAGGCCGCCAUCUUGUCCGCCAUCUUGACCUCCACAGCCACCCAUGGGUGCCACCAUCCAUAUAUUAUCCCACAAUCGGGGUCCCAUUACCCCCCAUGUGUUCCCCCCCCUCCACAUUCCUCCAUCCGGGUCCUUUUCCCCCCUUUAUUUCACCCCCCCACCGCCCACCCCACCGCGGCCGCCAUUACCAGCACCCCCAACCCGGAUAUCCGCUCCACACCGGAAGUCCCACCCAUCCCAGAAGGCGGAAGCGGAUGUGACCACAGCGCCCCCCCAACUUCCGUUUCCUCCCCUUCCUCUUCACACGGACUUCCGUCAUCUUCAUCUUCCGGUUCCGGUUUACUUCCGGGUUGGGCGUGACGUAUGGAUACUUCCGGUAUCAUGGCGGCGAUCCAUUCGGUGUGGGCCGCGGUUCGGGUGUAGACACCGGGACGGGAAUAAAAACAACGACAACGACGACGGGACAAUAACGGAACCGAGAGAUGGUGGAGGGGCUUCGGGGCGGGGAGGGGGGCUGGGAAUGGAAAUAGGUGUGAAUGGAUGGAUGGAUGAAUGGGGGAGGAAUUGAUGAAUGGAUGAAUGGAUGAAUGAAUGAAUGAAUGAAUGGGGGGAGGAAGGAAGGAAUGAAUGGGGGGGUGAAUGAAUGAAUGAAUGAAUGAAUGAAUGAAUGAAUGAAUGGGGAAGGGAUGAAUGGGGGGAAUGAAUGAGGGAAGGAAAGAAAGAAAGAAUGAAUGAAUGAAUGAA